AGGUGAUGCCUCCUUACCUAUAUCAACGGAGGCACUCGGCUAUGCUGUGGGUGAUUUUCCACCUUAGCACGUUGUUGGCAGUAGCAUGGUGUGAGGAAGGGUUAGAUGCCCU
rfam:Fictibacillus phosphorivorans strain G25-29, complete genome.